GAUGAAGAACGUAGCGAAAUGCGAUAAGUAAUGUGAAUUGCAGAAUUCAGUGAAUCAUCGAAUCUUUGAACGCACAUUGCGCCCCCUGGUAUUCCGGGGGGCAUGCCUGUCCGAGCGUCAUUACAACCCUCAAGCUCAGCUUGGUGUUGGGCCCCGCCGCCCCGGCGGGCCCUAAAGUCAGUGGCGGUGCCGUCCGGCUCCGAGCGUAGUAAUUCUUCUCGCUCUGGAGGUCCGGUCGUGUGCUCGCCAGCAACCCCCAAUUUUUUUCAGGUUGACCUCGGAUCAGGUAGGGAUACCCGCUGAACUUAAGCAUAUCAAUAAGCGGCGGA
rnacentral:misc_RNA from 1 species